GACGAACGCUGGCGGCGUGCCUAAUACAUGCAAGUCGAACGAGAGCGACUGGUGCUUGCACUGGUCAAUCCAGUGGCGAACGGGUGAGUAACACGUGGGUAACCUGCCCAUCAGAGGGGGAUAACAUUCGGAAACGGAUGCUAAAACCGCAUAGGUCUUCGAACCGCAUGGUUUGAAGAGGAAAAGAGGCGCAAGCUUCUGCUGAUGGAUGGACCCGCGGUGCAUUAGCUAGUUGGUGAGGUAACGGCUCACCAAGGCCGUGAUGCAUAGCCGACCUGAGAGGGUGAUCGGCCACAUUGGGACUGAGACACGGCCCAAACUCCUACGGGAGGCAGCAGUAGGGAAUCUUCCGCAAUGGACGCAAGUCUGACGGAGCAACGCCGCGUGAGUGAAGAAGGUUUUCGGAUCGUAAAACUCUGUUGUUAGAGAAGAACAAGUGCUAGAGUAACUGUUAGCGCCUUGACGGUAUCUAACCAGAAAGCCACGGCUAACUACGUGCCAGCAGCCGCGGUAAUACGUAGGUGGCAAGCGUUGUCCGGAUUUAUUGGGCGUAAAGCGAGCGCAGGCGGUUCCUUAAGUCUGAUGUGAAAGCCCCCGGCUCAACCGGGGAGGGUCAUUGGAAACUGGGGAACUUGAGUGCAGAAGAGGAGAGUGGAAUUCCAUGUGUAGCGGUGAAAUGCGUAGAUAUAUGGAGGAACACCAGUGGCGAAGGCGACUCUCUGGUCUGUAACUGACGCUGAGGCUCGAAAGCGUGGGUAGCAAACAGG
rnacentral:rRNA from 1 species